GCAAUCUUUUAUAACAUUGUAAAUGUCCUUACUGUCACAUUUGAUCAGUUUAAUACAUCUUUGUUUUGUUUUUGUUUUUAAACCUGCCCAAGACUUUUGAAUGGCAGUGUAAUACUGUCAAGUGAUUGGUUAUCACCAUAUUGCGUCAGCCAGAAUUUUAAUACCAAUGAAUCUUAUUAUCAUAUUUACUUGAUUGAACAGAUUGCUGUCUGAUUGGUGACAUUGCAUUUAGAUUUUCGACAAAAAUGUCUCUGUAUAAUGAAUAUAAUAUCCAGUCACAUUCUCUCUGCAAAUAUGAGUGUUCCCUACAUAAUGCUGCCAGUACUGAGCAAUAAAAUGUUUUUGUCACCUUGUAGAAUUAAAAGCUUUGUCUCCAUACAUGCAGCUUCCAUUCAAACUUCAGUCAGUGUCAGAUCAGUGAAAAUGCAUGAAAUGACCAAGUGUAAAUACCCAGGCCUCUGUGCUGGGAUACAUGUUAUGCAGUGCUGAUUGUUGCUGGAUUUGAGGACAAUGAAGUAUGAAGCAAUCUGUUCUUCACCAUGGUCCAUCUGUGUGUUAUGUGGGGUACCAGUGAGUGCUCUCGCUCAGGGAUUGAACAUUCAGACCCCGGCAGAUUGCAUCAGUCUGUGGGGGUCAUCCUGACAUAAUCGCUAAUAAACCACCACAUGCACUCUUCGUUGACAACAUGACCCUAUAGUUUGUGUAAGGCUCUUUAAUGCAGGUAUUUUGCUGUAUUUCAGAUGAGUAUAAGAGGGAGGAACUCCCUGAGGAGGAUGUGCUGCGGAUUCUGUCAUGUGUUAAGUGGCUGUCAUCAUCUACUCUCCCUAGAAACAAGCAUCUUCAUAAAGCUCUGAGAACUGCAGCAUCCGUCUUCACUGAGGACACCCUGUUCUAUCUCUGUUUGCUGUUCUUCACUUUCUCUUUUUCAACAGUGGUGCUUGCGAGAGUGCAGACUGGGUUAGGGGUGUGAAUGAACCUAUGUCCCUAAAUUUUAUACUUAAACAUGCUAUUCAUACUUAAUAGCUUGUGCUACAGACAUGAAUAUUGCCUCAAAUUAUGCGGCUUAACAGGCAGAGGUGUUCAAAGAGAUCUGACUCAUUUGGUGCUCAGAAAUAAAACUUGCAUUAAAACCCACAGUUUUACACUGAUGAAGAGAUCCAAGCCUUAUCUAGAGACUUAACUUAAGCCAGUGAGAAACCACACCCUAGCAACAGCAUAGCAAUAUCCUAAAAAUGCUCUGAAUGCUGUAGAAAUUGGGUAUGUCCUGACAACCUCCCAGACUGACAAGCAAAAAAUGUCAAUAUCUGUUCUUUUUUUAAUUCUUAAAGUUGUAUUAUUUGUAUACUUUAUAUUAUUUGUGGCAAGUAUUCCAAGAUCAUUUUCCUUAUUGCAUCUUAUUGCCUUGAUCUCUUUCUCUCCUCCCUUUUUUCUAAUAAUUGCAGUCUUUAGGAAAGUACCUGCGUCCUUCAGUUUGUGCUGUUUUCUCCAUCUGGCUCCACAGUCUCGCUCUACUCUCUCCUUAUGCUGGCUGCUGGCUAUGUUUGGAUGCUGUCAUCUCCAAAAGAUGGCGAGACGAGAAGAAAAGUCAACCUCCUGGGCUGUCUCUAAGACCUAUCGUGGGAAGAACCUCUGCAGCAAUCCAACAUACCACCCUGCCUAAAAAUGUCCCCAAGCAGACAGGAAGGAAGUCAUUUUUGAGUGGCAACACGCAAAGGAAAUCCACUUGAUAAAAGACGGCCGCAAAACAGAAACUGGCAGAUUUUUUGCGACAGAAGUACGUCACAGCCACCAUCACACUAGCCUGUCAGACCUCCGGAGUGAAAUUAUCAAGUAACUGUUGAUGCAUGACUUGGUCCCACUUUCCUGGAUUUGACAGGCCAGGCCUGGAUUUGAAUGUCCACACACUUCCUGUGAAGACGUAACCGAGCUACUAUCUUAGAGGUAAAACAGAAGAUCAUUGUACUCCCAGAAAUGCAACCGAGUCAUGUGAACUGACCCUAAAAUGAAACAUCACAAAACAUGUGGCAGAAUUAUAACCACACUGCCCAGCUGUCUGUCAGCAGGUAGGGCGUUUUGAGCGGAUGGAAGCUGCUUACACUGCGAUUUGAGUGAACUUGACCUCUGAUCUUUGAGAAAAGUCAAAUAGUUUAUUAAAGU